UACAGAGGGUGCAAGCGUUAAUCGGAAUUAUUGGGCGUAAAGAGCUCGUAGGCGGCCUGUUGCGUCCGCUGUGAAAGCCCGGGGCUUAACCCCGGGUCGGCAGUGGAUACGGGCAGGCUAGAGGUAGGUAGGGGAGAAUGGAAUUCCCGGUGUAGCGGUGAAAUGCGCAGAUAUCAGGAGGAACACCGGUGGCGAAGGCGGUUCUCUGGGCAUUCCCUGACGCUGAGGAGCGAAAGUGUGGGGAGCGAACAGG
rnacentral:rRNA from 1 species